AGUGAACGCUGGCGGUAGGCCUAACACAUGCCAGUCGAACGGCAGCACAGUAAGAGCUUGCUCUUACGGGUGGCGAGUGGCGGACGGGUGAGGAAUACAUCGGAAUCUACUUUUUCGUGGGGGAUAACGUAGGGAAACUUACGCUAAUACCGCAUACGACCUACGGGUGAAAGCGGGGGAUCUUCGGACCUUGCGCGAUUGAAUGAGCCGAUGUCGGAUUAGCUAGUUGGCGGGGUAAAGGCCCACCAAGGCGACGAUCCGUAGCUGGUCUGAGAGGAUGAUCAGCCACACUGGAACUGAGACACGGUCCAGACUCCUACGGGAGGCAGCAGUGGGGAAUAUUGGACAAUGGGCGCAAGCCUGAUCCAGCCAUACCGCGUGGGUGAAGAAGGCCUUCGGGUUGUAAAGCCCUUUUGUUGGGAAAGAAAAGCAGCAGGUUAAUACCCCGCUGUUCUGACGGUACCCAAAGAAUAAGCACCGGCUAACUUCGUG
rnacentral:rRNA from 1 species